UGGCUCACUAACGUAUCUUGUCCGUUCUGAGUUCUGACAAAAAUAAAUCACCUUCUACUUCCAGAUUUUACCAGAGAAACAUCACUAAACAUUUGUAGCAAAUCAUAAGAAAUUUGGCCUUUUAACAUAUUUGCUUCAGAAGGCAUCCUAGCAACAAAGUUAUCUAUACUUGAAUGCUAAAUUGAGAACUAAAUCAGAUUUUUGUACCACGCCAAUUUCACUAUGAGAUCUGUGAAUUUUCAUCAUAACUAGCAUAGCAGAGCACC
rnacentral:misc_RNA from 1 species